rnacentral:rRNA from 1 species
GAUGAACGCUAGCUACAGGCUUAACACAUGCAAGUCGAGGGGAAACGACAUUGAAGCUUGCUUCGAUGGUCGUCGACCGGCGCACGGGUGAGUAACGCGUAUCCAACCUGCCUCUGACCAAGGGAUAACCCGUCGAAAGUCGGCCUAAUACCUUAUGCAGUCGUCGGAAGUCAUCUGAUGACGACGAAAGAUUUCAUCGGUGUGAGAUGGGGAUGCGUCUGAUUAGCUUGUUGGCGGGGUAACGGCCCACCAAGGCAACGAUCAGUAGGGGUUCUGAGAGGAAGGUCCCCCACAUUGGAACUGAGACACGGUCCAAACUCCUACGGGAGGCAGCAGUGAGGAAUAUUGGUCAAUGGGCGAGAGCCUGAACCAGCCAAGUAGCGUGCAGGAUGACGGCCCUAUGGGUUGUAAACUGCUUUUAUGCGGGGAUAAAGUGAGGGACGGGUCCUUCAUUGCAGGUACCGCAUGAAUAAGGACCGGCUAAUUCCGUG